UCGCUAGUCAAUCCCUCGCACAGCCUUCGUCGUUGUCAGUUUAUUAACCUCCUCAAUCCCCUCGCACAGCCGCCGCCGCCGAUCCUCCCCUCGACCGUGGCGACGACGGCGUCCCUCCUGGCGGUCGUGCCACCGCUGCCUCAGACCGUCACACGGCCGCAGCCGCCUAUACUUUUUCUCGCACCUCCCCUAAUCCAGUUCCCGUCCAAAGCCGCCGCCGCAAACAAGGGAUCCCACCGGACCUCGCCGCCGCCGCAAUCAAGGGAUCCCGCCGGAUUGCCGCCAGGAGCCGCGGGAACUGCAUGCCAUCAGGCGCGGCGUGCCGAGCCCGCCGAAGCCUCCUCUGCCCCACCGCCCCCUCCACCGCAUCCCUCCGUCGAGCAUCCGGUCAUGCCGAGCAACGCCGCGGACCAGUCCGUAGGCAGGAUCUAUCUGGCCGACCUCAUUUGAGCUGCGGCUUAAGUAUUCCUACUGCACGGGUUUGCACAUAUGAUACAUAGCUGGUGUGAUGAGAUUUUGGCACCUGUACAUUCCUUGUACCAACUUAGGCGAAUAAUAAUUUAUUUGUUUUUGUGACGGUUGGUUGAGCACAUCUUCUAGACUCUUGUGAAUACAUCUGGGACAACGCUUCACAUCAGUCAGGGUUGCCAUGUGAAGAAAAAGGAUAUGUGGGAGCUUUUGAAUGGACAAAGGCUUCAGCAAGGAAGAGAAGACAGCUGCAUUUCCUUACUUGCAAUUCCAGUAACUAUCUUUGUUAUAACUUGUAGAGUGUACCCGCAAAAAAAACUUGUAGAGUGUGAUGGAUUAAUUAGGAUGCUAUGUAAUCAGAGUACGUACCCUAUCAUAUGUAUCAUGACUGAUUGCGACCAAGGUCUGCAUUCUAUGAAGAAGGCUCCCAUUUAUAUGUUUAUUA